UUACGGCCAUAUCAAGUUGAAACACCGAUUCUCGUACGAUCACCGAAGUUAAGCAACAUCGAGCUUGGCCAGUUCCUGGAUGAGUGACCGUUCGGGAAUGCCAGGUGCUGUAA